rnacentral:lncRNA from 1 species
CAAGAGGCGGGCAAGCAGUCCUCUCCAGGCACAAGUGGCGAAGGGCACUUCGUCACAGGUCGCUGGAUGCAAUUUAAUUUAAUGACUGUGCUACUUAUGUUUUAUCCGCUGUGUUUUUCUUUUUAAGUUGAUGAGCUAACCACAUCAAUUUGAGUAGCUCAGGAGAGUUCAAGUGAGGUGGUUCACUCUCUUUUCACUAGUAAAUAUUCUGCAACUGGCUAAUACUGAUAUUUGUAGUUGACUCAACCGAUAUAAAUAUUAACCGAUAAGUUGGUAAAAGAAGGAAAGGAAGUGGAAAGAAAAGGAGAAAGAAAAAGAGAGAAAGGAAGUAAUGCAUACUAAAUUUCUUCUGGCCAAAGUGAAGUCAUAAAUCCUUGGGCUAUUAAUUUAAUCUCCCUGAAGGCUUGAUCUACUAAACUGCAGAUAGACGGAUAAUCAUUUAAGACUGCUUUACUAGAGAUAUAAAACUAUUUUCAUCAAAUAUUAACAUAAAAUCAAUAGUUACCAAAAAAGCUGGAGAACACAAAGAUGAGAAUAAAAAUCAAAAGAAAAAGGAAGAUAAACCUUUGGAAAAAAGGAAAGAUAAAACUGGCUUCCAUAUUGUGGCGGACCGCCUGACACCCCGACCAGGUGCCUCCGCCAAUCAAUGCUCCUAGUGCUCACCGAGUACUCCAAGCACUCCAGACACCAUCAUCACUGUAGUCCCCACUUCCAGCAUUACAGCUUGGUUGGGGUCUCGCUGUCCCCCACACACCCUGGACCCAAGAUCAGGAUCCAGCUUCCAUUGAGUAGACCUCUCCUCCAAGAUAGUGUAGCAGGCUGCUCUUAUAAGAGCAAGUGUGACGGACCCUCCGUCAAUCGAUGCUCCUAGUGCUUACCAAGGACCAUCAGCACCGCACCAGACACGAUAAGCACUGCAGACCCCACAAACCGCCGCUGCUUGGUUGGGGUCUCGCCAUCUCCUACCCACCCUGGACCUACGACAAGGCUCCAGGUUCCAGUGGGUGAACCUUUCUUUCCCCAGAGAGUGAAGCAGGAACAAGCUCUUAAAAGAGCUAAGUGAUUAUAAUCCCUGGGGAGUAUAGUGAUAUAGCAAUCCCCAGGGUAGAUGCAGCCUUUCCCCCCAAACAUGAGACGAGGCUCUAUGUUGAGGGUAAAACAGGAACUCAGCAUAUCUGAGGGUUUAUUUAUUUUUUUAUACAGAUUUCCCCACAAGGUUACUGUGACAGACCUAUCUGUCUGUGAAUUACUUUUAUUUUCCCUCCAUUCGUCUGUUCGGCUAUUUCCCCUAUCCAUACAGCCCCUAUGUUUAUUUGCUCUUUUACCAAACAACUGCCGAACGGCCGGCCACCCAGCAUGAAAGUGUGCUGCUUGUUAACCUCUUGGCCUCAUCAGAACGUUGUGGUUAACCGCAGACACUUCCUAAUUGUGGAAUCCCGACUGGGUGGUCUUUGUUCGUUUGCCGACCACGAGAUGGCGGCCAUGAUGAAUACAUGGAACUAAAAGCGGACACUAUUUCUCACAAACACUGCACUGCUUCUGGCCAGCAGAUAAUUGAGUUUAGUAUGUUGCUAAAACUCAAUUAUCUAGCCUGGCCCAGAGGAGGAGUCUGUUACUGUAUAAAUUGAAGGCUCUUGCUUCCAUUAAAUCAAUCUUGUCCCAGCAUUAAGCUUUGGCUCAUGUGUGGAUUAUUAUGCGAUACCAGCGAUAUUUUACCCUGUGGAUUAUUGGCGAUAUUGUUUUAUGGGAAUAAGGGAAUGCUUGACGGUGAUACAUAUUCAUACCAUCACACUAGACAGCUAGGACUGGCUAAUGACGCCCAUAUGGCAGCAAAGGGGUUAAACUCAGUA